AAGCCUGAUGCAGCGACGCCGCGUGAGGGAUGACGGCCUUCGGGUUGUAAACCUCUGUUAGCAUCGAAGAAGCGAAAGUGACGGUAGGUGCAGAGAAAGCGCCGGCUAACUACGUGCCAGCAGCCGCGGUAAUACGUAGGGCGCGAGCGUUGUCCGGAAUUAUUGGGCGUAAAGAGCUUGUAGGCGGUUGGUCGCGUCUGCUGUGAAAGGCUGGGGCUUAACCCUGGUUUUGCAGUGGGUACGGGCUAACUAGAGUGCAGUAGGGGAGACUGGAAUUCCUGGUGUAGCGGUGGAAUGCGCAGAUAUCAGGAGGAACACCGAUGGCGAAGGCAGGUCUCUGGGCUGUAACUGACGCUGAGAAGCGAAAGCAUGGGGAGCGAACAGGAUUAGAUACCCUGGUAGUCCAUGCCGUAAAACGUUGGGGCACUAGGUGUGGGGGGACAUUCCACGUUUUCCGCGCCGUA
rnacentral:rRNA from 1 species